rnacentral:rRNA from 1 species
AAGUCUUUACGGAGAAAGCUUUAUGCACCAUUGGAUGAGCCUGCACUAGAUUAGUUUGUUGGUGGGGUAAUGGCCUACCAAGACUAUGAUCUAUAGCUGAUUUGAGAGGAUGAUCAGCCACAUUGGGACUGAGACACGGCCCAAACUCCUACGGGAGGCAGCAGUGGGGAAUCUUGCACAAUGGAGGAAACUCUGAUGCAGCGAUGCCGCGUGAGUGAAGAAGGCCUUUGGGUUGUAAAGCUCUUUCGUCGGGGAAGAAAAUGACUGUACCCGAAUA